CGUGCAGGCGGCUCGCUAAGUCUGAUGUGAAAGCCCCGGGCUCAACCCGGGAAGUGCAUUGGAAACUGGCGAACUUGAGUACGGGAGAGGGAAGUGGAAUUCCGAGUGUAGGGGUGAAAUCCGUAGAUAUUCGGAGGAACACCAGUGGCGAAGGCGGCUUCCCUGGACCGAUACUGACGCUGAGACGGCGAAAGCGUGGGGAGCAAACA
rnacentral:rRNA from 1 species